rnacentral:rRNA from 1 species
AACGAACGCUGGCGGCAGGCUUAACACAUGCAAGUCGAACGCAUCCUUCGGGGUGAGCGGCGGACGGCUGAGUAACGCGUAGGAACGUACCCCAAACUGAGGGAUAAUCCACCGAAAGGUGGACUAAUACCGCAUGUGCUCUUCGGAGUAAAGCUUCGGCGGUUUGGGAACGGCCUGCGUCCGAUUAGGUUGUUGGUGAGGUAAUGGCUCACCAAGCCUACGAUCGGUAGCUGGUCUGAGAGGAUGAUCAGCCAGACUGGGACUGAGACACGGCCCAGACUCCUACGGGAGGCAGCAGUAGGGAAUUUUCCACAAUGGGCGAAAGCCUGAUGGAGCAACACCGCGUGCAGGAUGAAGGCUUUCGGGUCGUAAACUGCUUUUACUAGUGACGAAUAUGACGGUAACUAGAGAAUAAGGAUCGGCUAACUACGUGCCAGCCGCCGCAGUAA